CCCCAAGAGUCCACAUCGACGGGGAGGUUUGGCACCUCGAUGUCGGCUCAUCACAUCCUGGGGCUGUAGUAGGUCCCAAGGGUUGGGCUGUUCGCCCAUUAAAGUGGUACGCGAGCUGGGUUCAGAACGUCGUGAGACAGUUCGGUCCCUAUCCGUCGCAGGCGUAGGAAAUUUGAGAAGACCUGUCCGUUAGUACGAGAGGACCGGGAUGGACGUACCUCUGGUGUACCAGUUGU
rnacentral:rRNA from 1 species